UCUUUACUUUGGUAUAAAAACUCUCUUGUAAUCAUUCUCAUCUUUUGAUCAAAUCUGUUUUCAAGAAAUCUUUCAUGGUAUUAGUUUUUCAAAGAAGAUCUUUAAUUCUUCUAUCAAUUUUCGAUCCUAAAAUUGUUUCACAAACAACAUCAAUUUUCCGCUGCUAUUCCUAUUACAACUCAAAAUCAUUACUAUAACACCUAAUUACGACUCAAAAUCACUACGUACUACAAUACCCAAAAUCUUCUAUCAAUUAGUUUUUCAAAGAAAUCUUUCAUGGUAUUAGUUUUUCAAAGAAGAUCUUUAAUUCUUCUAUCAAUUUUCGAUCCUAAAAUUGCUUCACAACAUCAAUUUUCCGCUGCUAUUCCUAUUACAACUCAAAAUCAUUACUAUAGUACCUAAUUACAACUCAAAAUCACUACGUACUACAAUACCCAGAAUCUCUUAAAAUCUCUAAGGUUUCUUUCAGAAUUAUUUGAUUUCUUUCUCAUAACUUGAAAUCUUGAAUUUCACCUGCUUUUGUUUUCAUAUGAAGAUUAAUCUCUACUUCAUCUUUCUUUCUUCCUUCAGAUCUUACUUCUUGAUAUGGCAACUACAUCUACUUUACCUUUUUAGAAUAUCACUAACUUUGUCUCAGUAAAACUUAAAGAGGAUGGCUCAAAUUAUCUGAUUUGGAAAAAUCAAUUUGAGUCUAUUCUAACCACAACAUAUCUUGAAGAAUUCAUCGAUGGAUCGUCUGUUUGUCCUUUGGAAACAGUUGAACUUGAUGGUAAUCAAGUACCCAAUUCAUUAUUUGCUCAUUGGCGCAAGAUGAAUAGGUUUGUGAUGUCAUGUCUUAACGCUACACUUGAUGAUUAUAUAUCUAGAGGUGUUAUUGGUUUCACUACAGCCAGGCAGAUCUGGGUUUUCUUAACUGUAAACCAGCUAAGACCCCAGUACUUCAUGGUCCAAUACUAUCCAUCUCUACUGGUACAUUGUUAACCGAUGUGAAUGGUUAUAGAAGGAUGGUUGGAGGAUUACAGUAUUUGACCAUGGCCUGACCAGAUAUUUGCUUUGCAGUCACUUAUGUAUCACAGUUUAUGCAUGCAUCUACUUCUGAACAUUUGUUACUUGUUAAGAGGAUUUUCAGGUACUCAAAAGGUACUCUAGGUACAUGCAUUACUUUGGUUGCAGGUGAUACUUCUUAUAGACUGCUUAUGCUGAUUCAGAUUGGGCAGGAUGUCCAGAUACUAGGAGGUCCAAUUCAAGCUUCUGCACUUUUCGAGGUUCAUCCAUUAUUUCUUGGUCUUCAAAGAAACAACCUACAAUCUCUAGGUCAUCAGCUGAGGCUGAAUACAAAUCAAUGGUUGUUGCUGCUGUAGAGCAAUCUUACAUUACUACAGGGGACAACUUGCGAGCCGGGCUUCUAGGGAUGAGAAUCAAUUUCGGGUCACCAAAACCUGCAAUAGAUGAGAAGAAGGACUGGGAAAAGGUCUACAUUGUCACACUCCCGCCUUCCCAAUGUUUAUAAGACAAAUCGUUAUACUUUUUUCCUUCUCAUUGUGUUGGACUCAAAAAACAUUUCUGGGUAGAUUUCUGGUACCAAACUGUUGUAGUAUAUGUAGAACAAAAUCAUUGUAUGGUUAUGCCACAAUGAUUCCUGCAUAUUAACCCUGAUCAUGACGGUCCUUGAUAUCCUUUGCUUGCUCCAUCAUUGUUUAUUUUGAUCCAGCCUCUCUCUAGUGAGCCCAUCAUGAUAGAAUUUGUUUACUGUUGUUAGUGGAUGGGUGUGUGUGGUAAUGGUGAUUCAUCUGGAUAUAAUAUUAUACCUAUUUAUAUUCUUGGUUUAAUAAGAGUACAAUCUGAAAUAUCUGUUCAGGUGA